rnacentral:rRNA from 1 species
CAGACAGUGCGAGCGUUAUUCGGCAUUAAAUGGGCGUAAAGGGUAUGUAGGUGGUCAUGUAACUAAAUCUAAAUGCUGGAGUAAUAACUGUAGCGUAGGAUUUAUUAAUGAUGUGACUAGAGUUAUUGAUGUGUGAGCGGAAUUUCUUGUGUUAACAUUUAAAUGUCGUCAUAUAAGAAGGAACACCAAAGCGAAGGCAGCUUUCAAAUUUAACUGACACUGAGGUACGAAGCGUAGGAGCAAACAGGUU